rnacentral:tRNA from 1 species
GGCACCGUGAUGUAGUUGGUUAACGCGUCGGCGCACAUUACCGAUGUCACUGGUUCGAAUCCAGCCGGCACCU